AAUUACUCAGGAGGAAGAUAUGGCUGAGAAACAUCAGGCGUAGGGACAUCAGUCUGCAGAAGUCCUUCGAGGACCUGAAGAAAGGGGGUUAUGCUAUGUGCGAGGAGCACUUUGAAGAGUGUUUUAUUCUGAUUAAGGGUUCCCGGAAGACACUGUCCUCUGAGGCAGUACCUACCAGAAUAAAUUGCAGGAAUACACCCCCUCAAUCUGCAACAGAUGCACAGCGUAGUAGAAAAAGAAAACAAAACAAGAUCCAAUGUUGGAGGCCAUGGAGUCACUACCUCCUGUCAUCGAGAAGAUGGAACUCCUGGUCAGAAAUAUGACCACAACCAAAAGAAAUGAUGAAAUAGCAAUAAAAAACAUAUGGGAUGCUAUCAACGAAAGGGAUGCUAUCAACGGCUUAACCAUCAAGGGCAAUGUUUCGAAUCAGGCAAUGGUUUUCAUGGUUAGGAGUGUCACAUUUAAAUGUAAACAGGCAUUUGGCUAUUUCCUGGCUAAAUCGGCAACGCCAGCCUAAGAGACUGCUGACAUUGUGGCUGAGGCAAUAAAGAGACUACAAAGCAUAGGACUGACUGUCAUCAAGUUGGGAUGUGACCAGUCACCCUUUAAUAUGAAGUCCAUGAAAUUCCUUGGAGCAAGUCUAAAUGCUGAGGAUCACACUGACGGGCCACACUGCAUCACAGUUGAAGACGAUAAAAUCAGUGCGGAACAACUUCAUGCAUCAUGGGAUGAAGAUCGGAGAUUAUGAAAUCCUUUGGGACCAUCUGGUGUCGUUUUACAAGAUGGACAAAAGACACCCAAUCAGGAUGGCACAAAAGCUGACAGACAAACACAUUAAAUCUGCCACCCUUCACGAACAUGCGAGUGAAGCUGGCAACACAGGUGUUUAGCCACACUGUCUCUGCAGAUCUUGCUGGGAUAGAAAUCCAUGAAGGAGGGCUCUCAGACAAGAGAACAGCUUAAAGCUGGAUUUCGUUCUGGAAGCAAUACGAUGGAUUGACACAUGGAAAUGUUGAUCAACACUUCCGAAGGGGAUGCAGAUGGUGAUUGUUUGAAGGAUGAGAUCCUGAGCUAUAUAAGCGGAUGGCUUGCACAUGAGGUGCAGAAGAGACAAUCCUCCAUGACUGCAAGGCAAGCGAGAGGCUGCUGGUCCACAUCGGUUCUGAGCAUAACUAUGCUAAAAGAUCUUCUGAUCCAACAACCUUUAUCAAAAGGAAGCGCUACACUUGUUGUGGAAAUACUUUUCAAAGAUAUCUAUCAGACACCGGAGCUUGUGAAUUCAGUAUAGACUUUAUUACAAAGUAACAAGCCGAGCUGGUCCAUGGAGCAACUUCCCAUUCUGACUCUGAGUUCUCCUUUUAUAUGGUUUCAUUCUUACACAACAUACUGUCAUGAUUUAACUGGAUUUGAACCCAAAUGCAGACAACUAC